rnacentral:miRNA from 1 species
CACCGGUAUUACAUAUAGUGCU